UACGUAGGGUGCGAGCGUUGUCCGGAAUUAUUGGGCGGAAAGGGCUCGUAGGCGGUUUGUCGCGUCGGGAGUGAAAACACUGGGCUUAACUCAGUGCUUGCUUCCGAUACGGGCAGACUAGAGGUAUUCAGGGGAGAACGGAAUUCCUGGUGUAGCGGUGAAAUGCGCAGAUAUCAGGAAGAACACCAAUGGCGAAGGCAGCUCUCUGGGACGGUACUGACGCUGAGACGCGAAAGCGUGGGGAGCGAACAGG
rnacentral:rRNA from 1 species